AUUCCAGCUCCAAUAGCGUAUAUUAAAGUUGUUGCGGUUAAAAAGCUCGUAGUUGGAUUUCUGCCGAGGACGACCGGUCCGCCCUCUGGGUGAGUAUCUGGCUCGGCCUGGGCAUCUUCUUGGAGAACGUAUCUGCACUUGACUGUGUGGUGCGGUAUCCAGGACUUUUACUUUGAGGAAAUUAGAGUGUUUCAAGCAGGCUUACGCCUUGAAUACAUUAGCAUGGAAUAAUAAGAUAGGACCUCGGUUCUAUUUUGUUGGUUUCUAGAGCUGAGGUAAUGAUUAAUAGGGAUAGUUGGGGGCAUUCGUAUUUAACUGUCAGAGGUGAAAUUCUUGGAUUUACGGAAGACAAACUAAUGCGAAAGCAUCUACCAAGGAUGUUUUCAUUG
rnacentral:rRNA from 1 species